rnacentral:rRNA from 1 species
GCUAAGUGGGAAACGAUGUGGGAAGGCUCAGACAGCUAGGAUGUUGGCUUAGAAGCAGCCAUCAUUUAAAGAAAGCGUAAUAGCUCACUAGUCGAGUCGGCCUGCGCGGAAGAUGUAACGGGGCUAAGCAAUACACCGAAGCUGCGGCAAUGUCUUUUAGACAUUGGGUAGGGGAGCGUUCUGUAAGCCGUUGAAGGUGAAUCGUAAGGUUUGCUGGAGGUAUCAGAAGUGCGAAUGCUGACAUGAGUAACGACAAAGGGGGUGAAAAACCUCCUCGCCGGAAGACCAAGGGUUCCUGUCCAACGUUAAUCGGGGCAGGGUGAGUCGACCCCUAAGGUGAGGCCGAAAGGCGUAAUCGAUGGGAAACGGGUUAAUAUUCCCGUACUUCUGACUAUUGCGAUGGGGGGACGGAGAAGGCUAGGUGGGCCAGGCGACGGUUGUCCUGGUUCAAGUGCGUAGGCUUGAGAGUUAGGUAAAUCCGGCUCUCUCUAAGGCUGAGACACGACGUCGAGCUACUACGGUAGUGAAGUCAUUGAUGCCAUGCUUCCAGGAAAAGCCUCUAAGCUUCAGAUAGUCAGGAAUCGUACCCCAAACCGACACAGGUGGUCGGGUAGAGAAUACCAAGGCGCUUGAGAGAACUCGGGUGAAGGAACUAGGCAAAAUGGUACCGUAACUUCGGGAGAAGGUACGCUCUUGAUGGUGAAGUCCCUCGCGGAUGGAGCUGACGAGAGUCGCAGAUACCAGGUGGCUGCAACUGUUUAUUAAAAACACAGCACUGUGCAAAAUCGCAAGAUGACGUAUACGGUGUGACGCCUGCCCGGUGCCGGAAGGUUAAUUGAUGGGGUUAGCGCAAGCGAAGCUCUUGAUCGAAGCCCCGGUAAACGGCGGCCGUAACUAUAACGGUCCUAAGGUAGCGAAAUUCCUUGUCGGGUAAGUUCCGACCUGCACGAAUGGCGUAAUGAUGGCCACGCUGUCUCCACCCGAGACUCAGUGAAAUUGAAAUCGCUGUGAAGAUGCAGUGUACCCGCGGCUAGACGGAAAGACCCCGUGAACCUUUACUACAGCUUGGCACUGAACAUUGAACCUACAUGUGUAGGAUAGGUGGGAGGCUAUGAAGACGUGACGCCAGUUGCGUUGGAGCCGUCCUUGAAAUACCACCCUUGUAUGUUUGAUGUUCUAACUUAGACCCAUUAUCUGGGUUGAGGACAGUGCCUGGUGGGUAGUUUGACUGGGGCGGUCUCCUCCCAAAGAGUAACGGAGGAGCACGAAGGUGGGCUAAUCACGGUUGGACAUCGUGAGGUUAGUGCAAUGGCAUAAGCCCGCUUAACUGCGAGAAUGACGGUUCGAGCAGGUGCGAAAGCAGGUCAUAGUGAUCCGGUGGUUCUGUAUGGAAGGGCCAUCGCUCAACGGAUAAAAGGUACUCCGGGGAUAACAGGCUGAUACCGCCCAAGAGUUCAUAUCGACGGCGGUGUUUGGCACCUCGAUGUCGGCUCAUCACAUCCUGGGGCUGAAGUCGGUCCCAAGGGUAUGGCUGUUCGCCAUUUAAAGUGGUACGCGAGCUGGGUUUAGAACGUCGUGAGACAGUUCGGUCCCUAUCUGCCGUGGGCGUUGGAAGAUUGAAGGGGGCUGCUCCUAGUACGAGAGGACCGGAGUGGACGAACCUCUGGUGUUCGGGUUGUGUCGCCAGACGCAUUGCCCGGUAGCUAAGUUCGGAAUUGAUAAGCGCUGAAAGCAUCUAAGCGCGAAGCGAGCCCUGAGAUGAGUCUUCCCUGACAGUUUAACUGUCCUAAAGGGUUGUUCGAGACUAGAACGUUGAUAGGCAGGGUGUGUAAGCGUUGUGAGGCGUUGAGCUAACCUGUACUAAUUGCCCGUGAGGCUUAACCAUACAACACCCAAGGGGUUUUGUA